AGAUUAGUCCGCGCAGCGUGACGUCAGCUGUUGGUCUUGUCCGUCCUUUUCUGCCAUGUCGUUUACUUCCUCAAGCGUGCACGGUUAACUAUACACUACUAUUUAAUUUUUGCUGUGACAAUUCGGUGAAUGGUCAUAACAUGAAACGUUGUCGGUCGACAAAGGGGUGCUACUUUUCAUGACGAACGGAUACGUGACCAAAACACCGGAAGUGAAUAAAUAGCUCCGGCCGCUCCACCCCAACGCCUGAGACCGCCGUCAGCUAGCGUGAUUGCCAGGUGAAAGCUUGCUUUUUCUGAUAUUUUACAUGCGGUAUUUCAAUGUUCGAGUAUUUCAAUGCAGUCGAGGAGGCCACUGAACGUGUAGACGUUUUAUCUGCUAGCUGUUGUGUUUUUCGACUCCGCUUCCUUUAGCCGUGUUUACCAGCCUUACAGUCGGCUAAGUGUCGUGUUUUGGCAGCUGUAUCGGCGGCAAAUGAAGUGGUUUUAGGGUGGUCUGAGGUCGUAGUCACGUGACAAAGAGGACCCCCCCCCCCCCCCCCCCCCCGCCCAGCCAUGGAAACAAUGUUUUCAAACUGAAAUGAUCCUUUCAUCCUUAGGGAGAAUAUUCCUAUAAAGCAUUGUUGCCUGCAGCUGUACUAGGCGGCCUUUGCUUCUUGCCACCAUGGUGAGAUCCAUAGAGCUCUCCGAGGCCUCCAGAAUGGAGAUUGUCCAAGCGUAUGCGUCUGGCAAAGGAUAUAAAAAGAUCUCCAAACAAUUUGAAAUCAGCACUUCCACCAUAAGGAAAAUCAUUUACAAAUGGAAAACCAGUAAAACGACGGCCAACAGGCCUCGGUCCGGCCGGCCUAGCAAGUUCAGCGCAUCGGCAGACUGCAAGAUGCUCAAAGAACUCUCCAAAAAUCCCCAAAUGUCAUCACGGGACCUGCAGGAAGCUCUUGCUGCAGUUGAUGUCAGAGUGCACGCGUCCACCAUCAGAAAGAGGCUACACAAGUUUGAAUAUGCGUGGGAGGCGUGUGAGAAGGAAAGCCUUUCUGUCCAAGAACAACCUGACCAGACUGAAGAACGUCUAGCCCAAGGGUCUCCAGCAGAUGGCUCGCAAGCUACCAGUAGCUCAACACAGUAGCUGUCCUCGUGGGACCGCCUCAUCGUGUACAUAAUGAACCUUUCUCUUUCCAUAUGGAAUGACAACUGGACUUGUUCUUCUUCGGUGUUUUGGGGAGAGCUGAUCAGAAAGCUUCUGACCGUUUCAAAAAGGAAACAUUGGUGCCUGUCAAAGUACGACUCUGGCCCGGGACCCGAGGACCCGGGACCCGAGGACCCGGGAGGAUGAUUCUUCAGCACAACUUGACAAGUGCAGUAGUAGUUCCAGGAUACCAUGCCCUGCGAGGAUUUCCCUUUUCUCAUCCAUCUUCAACACCACUGAGCAGACUCGCAGCAUCCAGCCGGCGUGUUCUUGACUCCACCCGGCCGCCGUGUGUUCCGGUGACACUGCUGACGGGCCCCCAAGAUGACUUCAAGGUCUACUUUGCCGAGGGAGGCUGCUCGCCACGCUGACCCGACCCCUGCCAAGGACAACUCAUCAUGGGGUCUGUGAGAGCUCCGCUUGGUCUGGUUCCUCACCUGGUUUUGUUUGUCCUGGCUGGCCUAACGGGGGCAUUAAAGCUCCAGCAACGUAGCCCAAGUCAAGUCCUGGGGGUCUUGUUGGCCUGUGAGGGAAGGAUGGAACAUGACAUGAACAUGGGAUGGGUGAAGCGGAAGCUGCUGUUCCUACCAGGGCCGGCCUACAUGGACCAGAAAGUCAUAUCCCAUAUAUCUACGUACCAUAUCUGGCCCCGUACUUUCCUUUUCAGUUUAGACUAACUCCUAGGCAAACGUGCGUGUCAGGGUGAUGAUUCAAAUAAAUACGUACCAUGAGGAUGCUUAUUUCAAUGUUAGGACUUCAUGCAGGAUGCUCAUUCAAUGGAUGCUUCGUAAACAAUGUUCACGAGGAACGCAGCAGGAGCACGGCGGACAUCACACACAUUCCUCAUGGUGGAGUUUGUACCACGUUUUAUCUGUACUGCUCUGGAUUGGAAGUACCUCCAUAUUAAAGAGUUACUGCUUACUCCUUGCCCACUUCUUCCACCCAGACAUGCUAGCCUGUUAGCUUCGACUGAGCCUCCUCGCUCCUCCCUCCAUCAUGCAGGCAUCAGGGAGAUACAGCUCAAAUCCAGUCUAUCUCCGUAUCACCCAUAUGUUGGGUUUGAUAUCUCGCUUAAAGCAAAUGUGGAUAGUCCUACCUCACCUGUGGUACGAGUGUCUGGUACAAGCCAUCAAAUGAGUUUUCUCCCUAUGGUGGCUGGGCUCUCCUUCAGAGAAGAUGAGAAGCACUGUCAUCCAGGACAAAGUACGCAUUGAGAGAGCCAGAUGAGGUGGCUGGAGCAUCCUCUAGGUCCUAGCAGUAGUUCUACACUUCAUCAAGCACCGGUUACCUCAAAACACCAUGACUGCACAAGACUGGACAACGCGUCUCUGCCACAGCCAAGCAAGCUUGGUACUCGUCUUAUGGAGCACGCGUCCGUGGUAGACACCAUGGCCUGCGUGUUUCCUCCCACGUUCCAAAAGCAUGGAUCGUCCAUGGCUAUGACUGAUCGUCUAUACGUGGCUUGCCCUGAGCUGGUAGCCAACCCAGGGUGUAACCCACCUCGCCCAAAGUCAGCUGGGAUAGGCUCUGGCAUACCCCUAGUGAGGAAGAAGCGGCUUAGAAGAUGGAUGCAUGUGGUUGGACAGCAGCAGGAAAUGGAAGCUGAGAGGUAGGCAUGGAUGAAAGAUGGACUCUUGUCCAUGGUGACUGCAUUCCCGGCCACCACUGGUGGAGUGAAUGACUGACAUCCUGGAGCAGGGAGAACUACAUGUACCCACAGACCACAUUCGUGUCAUGGUGGCUUUGCAGUAUUUUCAUCACUUCUAGAACUGCUACUAUAGUAAUAAAUAUUGUUACAGGAAUACAUUUGCACGUGUUUUUUUUUAUCUAGCUAAAUUUGUAGGUGA